rnacentral:rRNA from 1 species
AACGAACGCUGGCGGCAUGCCUAACACAUGCAAGUCGAACGAGACCUUCGGGGCUAGUGGCGCACGGGUGCGUAACGCGUGGGAAUCUACCCUCAGGUUCGGAAUAACUCAGAGAAAUUUGAGCUAAUACCGGAUGAUGACGUAAGUCCAAAGAUUUAUCGCCUGAGGAUGAGCCCGCUUAGGAUUAGGUAGUUGGUGAGGUAAAGGCUCACCAAGCCGACGAUCCUUAGCUGGUCUGAGAGGAUGAUCAGCCACACUGGGACUGAGACACGGCCCAGACUCCUACGGGAGGCAGCAGUGGGGAAUAUUGGACAAUGGGCGAAAGCCUGAUCCAGCAAUGCCGCGUGAGUGAUGAAGGCCUUAGGGUUGUAAAGCUCUUUUACCCGGGAUGAUAAUGACAGUACCGGGAGAAUAAGCUCCGGCUAACUCCGUG